GACGAACGCUGGCGGCGUGCUUAACACAUGCAAGUCGAACGAUGAAGUUCUUUCGGGAAUGGAUUAGUGGCGAACGGGUGAGGAACACUUGAGAAACCUGCCUUUCAUUUUGGGAUAACUCCGGGAAACCGGGGCUAAAACCGAAUACUCCGUCUUGGCGGCAUCGCUGAGCCGGGAAAAAAUUUUGAUGAAAGAUGGUCUCGCGGCCUAUCAGCUAGUUGGUGAGGUAAUGGCUCACCAAGGCGACGACGGGUAGCCGGCCUGAGAGGGCGGCCGGCCACACUGGGACUGAGACACGGCCCAGACUCCUACGGGGGGCAGCGGUGGGGAAUAUUGGGCAAUGGGCGCAAGCCUGACCCAGCGACGCCGCGUGAGGGAUGAAGGCCUUCGGGUUGUAAACCUCUUUCAAUAGGGAAGAAGCGAAAGUGACGGUACCUAAAGAAGAAGCACCGGCUAACUAUGUGCCAGCAGCCGCGGCAAUACAUAGGGUGCAAGCGUUGUCCGGAAUUAUUGGGCGUAAAGAGCUCGUAGGUCGUCUGCCGCGUCGAUUGUGAAAAUCUGAGGCUCAACCUCGGACCUGCAGUCGAUACGGGCAAACUAGAGUGUGGUAGGGGAGACUGGAAUUCCUGGUGUAGCGGUGGAAUGCGCAGAUAUCAGGAGGAACACCAAUGGCGAAGGCAGGUCUCUGGGCCAUAACUGACACUGAGGAGCGAAGGCGCGGGGAGCGAACAGGAUUAGAUACCCUGGUAGUCCGCGCCGUAAACGAUGGGCACUAGCUGUGAGAGCCUUCCACGGUUCUCGCGACGCAGCCAAACGCAUUAAGUGCCCCGCCUGGGGAGUACGAUCGCAAGAUUA
rnacentral:rRNA from 1 species